rnacentral:rRNA from 1 species
UGGGGAAUCUUGGACAAUGGGGGCAACCCUGAUCCAGCCAUGCCGCGUGAGUGAUGAAGGCCUUAGGGUCGUAAAGCUCUUUCGCCUGUGAAGAUAAUGACGGUAGCAGGUAAAGAAACCCCGGCUAACUCCGUGCCAGCAGCCGCGGUAAUACGGAGGGGGUUAGCGUUGUUCGGAAUUACUGGGCGUAAAGCGCACGUAGGCGGACCAGAAAGUUGGGGGUGAAAUCCCGGGGGCUCAACCCCGGAACUGCCUCCAAAACUAUUGGUCUAGAGUUCGAGAGAGGUGAGUGGAAUUCCAAGUGUAGAGGUGAAAUUCGUAGAUAUUUGGAGGAACACCAGUGGCGAAGGCGGCUCACUGGCUCGAUACUGACGCUGAGGUGCGAAAGUGUGGGGAGCAAACAGGAUUAGAUACCCUGGGUCAGUCCACACCGUAAAACGAUGAAUGCCAGUCGUCGGGUAGCAUGCUAUUCGGUGACACACCUAACGGAUUAAGCAUUCCGCCUGGGGAGUACGGUCGCAA